AAAAGCCCAAAUGUUAACAUUUGUUCAUUAAGGGUGGUAAGUAUCACGUUAUUAUUACUGCAAUUUUCUGUGGUUUCAUUUUUUUUAUGUUAAACUAAGACUCUGGUUUUGUGGAGGAGCAAUAGUAGAAGCAGAAAGGAGAAAAGACUGUUUUCAGUGGUCCAGGAGAGAGCAAUGGUGCCUUGGAUCAGGGUGGAGGCAUUGAAGAUGGAGAGAAACCAACACACACCAGAUGUAUUUUAGAGGAUUUGCUAAUAAUUUGGAUGGGGGUGAGGGAAAGAUAAGAACUGAAGUAACUCCUGGGUUUGGAGUUCAGGCAGCUGAGGGGAUGACAUUUAUGAAGAUUUAGACGACCUAAGGAGGAAGGAUUAUGGAGGAAAGGGUGGUGUGGAGUACCUAAAUAAAUUGUGCCUAUUAAGUCUGAGAGAACAAUUAGACAUCUAAGUAGAGAUGUCAAACAUGAAACUGGAUGUCUGAGUCUGGUGCUCAGGGGAGAAGUCAGGGCUGGAGAUAGACAAUAGGAAGUUACCAGAAUAUAAUGGUAUCUAAGCCAUAAGACUGGAUGAGGUCAUGAAGAGAGAAAGUGUGGAAAGGGAAGGAGGCAGGACAAAGCCCAGGGACACUCCUACAUUACCCUGGUAGACCUAGAGGAGUUAGUGAAGGAAAAGCAGGAAAAAUAGAAGUAAAACCAGGAGAGGGUGGCAUCAUAGAAACUAAUAAAGGAAAAAGUGAAAUGAAGAUAAAGGUAAAUUAGAUUUGACAAGGUCAUUGGUGACCUUGACAAGAACAGUAUAUAUGGCAGAGUGAAGACAAAAGCCAGUAGAUUGAUGAGUGAAUGAACUUUUCAGUUUGUUUGAAAUGCCUCAUAAUAUAAUUUAAUUUUUAUUUUAUUUUACUAUUAACUCUUGGGAAAUAAGAAAAUAAAGACCAAAGUAGAAAACCCAAGAAGUUUUUCUCAGAAAAGGGUCACAGAGAGGGUUGUGACUGCAGAGGGAAUUGGUAUCAAGGAAGGUGCAAUUUUUGGUUUGCUUUGUCUCAUUUUGAGGCGGGAGAUAUUUGAGCAUGUAUUUGUAGGACUUCAGGAAUGAUCUCGUAGUAAGGGAGAGACUGAAGAUACAGGGAUAAGAAAAAGGGUGGUUACAGGAAUAGAGUCCUUAGGAAGGUGAGAGGGGAAAGGAUUCUAGCACAUAUUAAAGGAUACUUUUUCCACUGUAACAAAAGACAGGGAAUGUCAGCACAGGGGCAGAAAGUCUUGAAUAUUUGGUUCUGGAGAAACAAGAAUAUUCCAGAAAAAUGCAAUGAGGCCACUAACCAACAGAGAGGAAGAGAAAUGCUGCAGAAGGUUUGAGAAGAAAAGAAAUGUCAUCUUGGAGAGUAAAAUCAAAAAAUAAAUAGAACUGAAUGGAAAUGAAAGCAUAACCUAUCAAAAUGUGUGAGAUGCAGCUAGAGCAGUGCUUAGAGGAAAUUUUAUAGCACUAAAUCCAUACAUUGGAAAAGAAGAACAGUCUAAAAUCAAUAAUCUAAGCUCCCACCUCAAGAAUCAAAAACAGAAAAGCAAAAUAAACCCAAAGCAAGCAGAAGGAAAGACAUAAUAGAGACAAGAACAGAAACCAAUGACAUUGAAAACGAAAAAGCAAUAGAGAAAAGUCAAUGAAACAAACAGCUGGUUCUUUGAAAAGAUCAAUAAAAUUGAGAAAACUCUAGCAAGACUGAGAAGGGAAAAAAGAGAACACACAAGAUACCAAUAUCAGCAAUUAAAUAGGGGAUAUAACUAUAGAGACUUCAGACGUCAAAAGGAAAAUAAGGGAAUACCAUGAACGACUUUACACACACACAUAUGACAAUAGAUGAAAUGGUCCACUUUCUCAAGAAACACAAACUACUACAACUAACCCAAUACAAAAUAAGUUAUUUGAAUAGCGUUAUAACUAUUAAGAAAACUGAAUUCAUAAUGUAAAAACUACCAAAAAGAACCGUCCAGGCACACAUGGUUUCACCAGAGAAUUUUACCAAAUGUUUAAGGAAGAAUUAACACAAUUGCACAGAAUCUCUUCUAAAAAACAGAAGAGGAAGGAACAGUUCCCAAUUCAUUUUAUGAAGCUAGUAGUACCCUGAUGCUAAAUCCAGACCAAAACAACAGUACAAAGAAAGAAACUUACCAACCUACAAGCCUCGUGAGGAUAGAUGCAAAAUCCUUAACAUAAUAUUAGUGAAUAAAAUUCAGCAGUAUAUAAAAAAGAACUAUAUACCAUGAUUAAGUGGGAUUUUUUCCCCAGGGAUGCAAAGCUGGUCCAAUAUUCAAAAAUCAAUCAAUAUAAUCCACGACAUUAACAAGUUAAAGAAUAAAGAUCGCAUGAUCAGUCAAUGCAGAAAAAGCAUUGGACAAAAUCCAAUACCCUUUCAUGAUUUUUUUUUAACUCUCAGAAAAAUAGGAAUAGAGGAAAACUUCCUCAACUUGACAAAGAUCACAUACAAAAAACCAACAGCUAACAUCAUAUUUAAUGGUGAAAGACUGAAUGCUUUCCCCCUAGGAUCAGUACAAGGCAAGGAUGUUCACUGCUGUCAUCACUCUUAUUCAACAUAAUCCUGUAAGUUCUAUCCAGUGCAAUAAGGCAAGAAAAGGCAGACAGAUCAAAAAGGAAGAAAUAAAACUGUCCCUAUUAGCAGAUAACAUGAUUAUCUACAUAGAAAAUCCCAAAUAAUCUACAAAAAAAAAACCUCUAGGAACUAUUAAGUGAAUUCAACAAGCUCAUAAGAUAAACACAAAAAUUUCAAUUGUAUUUCUACAUCCUAGCAAUGAACUCAUGGA
rnacentral:lncRNA from 1 species